UUAGGAGACAAAAGCGGCAGCCUCAAGGAUCGUUUGCUUUAUUUAAUAUGGCAGCUGGCGCCGGGUGUGGGGGAAGAUCAACCUGCUGCCUGCUGAGCCGGACUCCUCACCCGGCGAGGAUGGAAGGAGGUGAUCCCGUGCCAGAGGGACCUGAGAGCAAUGAACAUAGGGCUAUUUCUAUCAGUGCCAGCAUGUUUGCAGCGAUGCUUGUCAACAUCCACCAGAGAGCAGGGCAGCUCCAAUACCCACAUCUUUUAUGCUGUGGAAAUCGAUGGAGACAGCAACACAGCCAGCUCCUUGGCCAAACAACAUGGAUUGCAGUUCAUUUCAAAGGUACUGGUCUCAGCCUAUAAGGCUUAUGCAUGAUGGAUGCAAGAGCGAUUUCCAACAGAGAGAAGCUUAUCACAGAUCCACCUAAAAGGGAGCUUUCAGCAUCCUGAAACUUGAGAGGAUUAGAGUGGCCAAGGAGUAGAUUGGCAUCAGUUUUAAACAUUUAAGGUGAAAUGGGUGAACAUCAGACAGCUCAUUAUAGAGACAACCAUGCUGCAUUCCCAAAGUAGGAUGACAGAACAAGUCAUGAUCUUGUACAGGAGGAAAAUGAGAUCCCUAGUGAAGUCUACAAUGUCACUGACUCUGAAGAAGGUCUCAGAGACCUGUUAGUGUUUAAUGAUCCUUAUUGGCCUGUACAAGAAUGGUCACAGUGAGACUCCAGAAGAGAUGGAGGAAAAUCUUUUGGUUGCAUGAAACAAUCUGAAGAUAAGUCCUGUUUGAUCAGUGG